rnacentral:sRNA from 1 species
UUUCUUGUGUUGUCCCGCACGGAUCUGU